UCUGGCUUUUACUUCCUAUCCCCAGCCUUUCACAGCAUCUCUCCUUGGCCCCUGCAAUCACCUUCAGGCCUCCUCCUGCUUGCACCAGCUGCAUCUGCUGCAGCAGACCCCACCUUUGUUUUUUGCUUCUCUGCCACUCUUUCACUCUCUCCGUCCUCAACAAACCUUUAGUGUCUAACUCAAGGCCUGACACACUCCCCUGAUUUACAGAGUCUUCUCCUUCUUCACUCCCAAUCCUCCAACAGGAGAGGAGUCAUCAAAGCCAUGGGAGUCAAAGGUUCUCCUGAAAGAAGAAAAAGGAGUGAGGACAGAGCCCCCAGGACCUUCAACAAAACAGGAGGGAAGAGAAUGAAGUCAGCUAGAAGAGAAUGGGGUCACUAAGGACAUGCCUACUGCACAGAAUACAGAAAAUGUAAAAUAGGCAAGAUUCUUGUCUACAAAUUAUGAUCACAUCUGAUAUUCCAUGCAAGCACAGAGCAAUAUGUCAAACCAGAAUGCUGAAUAAGAUUUCACUGUCUCAACAUUGCUAAGAGGAAUAUGACAUUAACAUAUUGAAACUCUCCUCCACUGUGGGAAAAGAACCAUGCAGAUGUGUUGGUUCCAAUUUGCUUACACACAUGUGUGUAAUACAGACAAGCAGCAGAAGACACUAUCCUCCUAUGGCGGGUUUAAUCACCAGAACCUAUUAACUACAAUUUUGUCCAAUUGCCAGUCUCAGCCUGGAAAUCUUCUCCCUUUCUGUCAAGACUUUACCCUCCUUCCCAGCUCAGCUUGAAGCUGCCUUUCCCAGGAAGUCUUCCACCAACCCCUGUGCAUCCCUUAUGUGUGAAUAUUCACACUUCACACUGUGUGACUCAGGUGACUCUUAGACAAGCCUUCUGUCUUCUGUAGGUCUGGAAACUUCUCGGAGGCAGGGCUGAUCCCUCAAGGCAUCCAGCAAAGCACCUCCCCGACCAUGAGCACUCGAUGAGUAUUUGUGAACUGAAGUUUGUCUGAAGUUCCUGCAGGAGGGUGAGGAUUACUGCAGAGGGGUGCCAUUGCCGAGGCUCACCCCAGCCUAAGCCACCCAUGAGCCACAAAAUGCCACUAGAGAUUCCUGGUAUGGCACCUUCCUAGCCCCUGCACCAAGCAAAUAAUUCUGUACUUUAAAUAAAGGAGGGACGGCUGAGGGAGAAUACUUCAGGCCCUCCCUGUCUACUUCUGCAGCACUUCCCAGCCCAAGAGCCCUUGGAGGGCAUUUGUGACCUGGAGCAUUAGGAGGGUCAGUCUGUCUGGGCUGAGUAAUGGUCCAGGCCCUGGUCAGCUCAGGCUGUGUGUGUGUGUGUGUGUGUGUGUGUGUGUGUGUGUGUGUGUGUGAGAGAGAGAGAGAGAGAGAGAGAGCGCACGCGCUUAGUAAUCAGAUAAUUCCGGUCAUUCCAACCAUCCAAAUCCCUUUCUGAUCCAUUUCUCCUCCCUCCCAGUCGAGCUUUCUGAAAACCUCACCGCGCAUGACCCUCCACUUGGUGACUCUACCCCCUUCCAUCUCCUCCUCCUCAUUGCAUGGUGACUCGCACCUGACCAACCUGCUCCUCUCCACCUUCUGUCACUUCAGCACCGUAGAUGCACCACACACUCUGGUUCCCAGUCCUCUAUCAUGUUGACAACCAUCCUCUCCCUCCUCAACACCUCAGCUACUGACACCCACAGCCUAACUUCACAAGUAAAUGCACCACCUUCAACAGCUUGCUUGGGAGCCUGAAGCUCGGUCAUCAUAAGCCCCCAUGGUUCUUGCUCACUAUAGAAUCCUGGCUCCAACUCCUCCAUUCACUGGGCGUGGUCUGUAGGGCCAACGUCUCACUUUCUUCCUCAUUGGGCUAGCCCCACUUGCUUUCCAAUGACCUUACCUACUUUGCAUACUUUGUCUUCACUGGGGCGAAACGUCAGCACUGGUUAACCAGAACCAUCAACCCCAUCAGACCUGAGGAGCAGGUGCUGAGGGACAGCAACGUCACAGCCAGGAAGACCCUUCCGAAAUGUCAGAUGAGCAGCAGCCCUACCCUGCAGGCUCACCACAAUCCUUGGACAAGUUCACACUCCUCCCCUAAAUGGUCUACUUCCACCCUCCCCUUUCUCAAAUCCUCUCUCCCACCCACCUCAAGCUCUGCAGAGACCCACUGUUCCUGGAGAAAGGUAGAAGCAAAGUCCCUCACUCCUAGGGGUGGUGCUGGAACCCUCUUGGGCUCAGGAUCUUGAACCACAAUAAAGCCCAAAGCCAUUGCCACCCCUCCUAGCCACCCCAUGAACUCUAAACCUCAGCAUGCGUUGCCAGCCUGGCCUUUAUGUGGAGCAAAGGGGCUUCAUGGAAAGUGAUGAGAAAGCAUCAUUCAUUUCCCCUACAGUGGGGUUAGUUCUUCCCUUUUCCCUCCUCUGCAUGGCAGGCACCCACUGCAGACCAGCCACCUGCAGGGAGACGCGUCCUGAUACAUUUCUCUCUUUUCUUCUCCAAGCUCUUUUGUUUCUUCAGCUCCACCCUUUGCUGUGGGUUUUGGCCACACCCAGGGUGGAGCUAAGGAGGGUGGGGCAGCAGGAUUCUCACAUAACUUGGAACUUUGUGAUGAUCUGGAAUCAGCCCUCUCUGAAGCAAGUUCUUUCCUCCCUGUAAGGAACUUCGUAGGUUUUUUUCAGAGACUCCUUAGUCUCUGGGGCUCUCUUUCCAGCUGGUCACUCAAGACACCUUCCUGAGCCUUUAUAUGAUGAAGGAGCCUCAGACUUACUGUGCUGCGGAGUUUUGCUCUUCAGGCAGCUCUCUUGGGUGGGAUAUCAAAUGACCCCAGCCAGCUUUCUCAGUGGAGCCGCCCAAAUCAGGUCCUUGGGAAACACUCCCACGUUCCCUUUGCCCCUCAAGGUAUCAUGCAGGCCCCUCCCAGCAACCCUCUCAAAAACCUUCUCACCACUAGCCUUUUCUCAGCCUUUGAAACCUCUUUCUAGGUCAAAGAUAGGAGGCCAGCUAGGGUCACAAAACCAGUCUUUGGCAGCCUCCUUCAUAAGGGAGUCUCGAGCAUGACUUGGGAAUCAGCCCGUAUCUAUCCUUCAGCACCCUUUCAAAAUCCUGCAGUGCCUGGUUGUGUGCGCGAUGAAGUUUAGUGCUUCAUGGCUGCUGUGCUUCUAAAGCAGGAAGGCAGCAGAAAGCAAGGAAACACUCAUCCUAAAGGGGAAUACACAACCUGAUAAUUUAACAUUAGCAAAGGUUCGACCCACUCCUCAGGCCCAGAAAGGCUGCCCCAUUGCAGGCUGUAUGGGAUUUUACACCACAAUAGAAAUGAAUAUAUUUGUAUACACCAGGUGUAUACAAAUAACACCCGUAUGGUGCCCCCUGGCUCAUAUUAAUGUCUAGAAACCUGCAUGUGAGAAGAGGUGGUGAUGAUGACUGUGGUUUGGCUGGGCUGUGCACCCCACUUGCCUGGGGAGAGCUUUCCAGAUGGUGAAGCCCCUGCACCCAUCAAUCAAGGUGCAGUCUGAGAACAGAAACCACUUGUUCUUUCAAGCAGAGAAGGAUUCAGGGCAAAGAACUAUUUACCAAGGUAUUGCAAUGGCUGGUGGGUGUGGCUGGAGGGGUGCCAGAGGGGGAAAAUAGAGGAGGGUUAACUAGAGAUGAAGAAGUCAUUACCGACCCGGCUGGCCCCAAGCCUACACCAGCUACCCGUUGCCCCGGGAGCCAGAGGCUGCUGCUGUGGCCAGCAUGGACAGCACUAAACCAAAGCCGCCUCUGUUCUCCACUGCUGGCAGGACCAAGCUGAGACCAGGACCAAAACUGUGGGAUGUGUUGGCCACAUACUUCCAGCCCCACAGCACACAGCAGGCAUGGAGGGCGGGUACAGGGCCCAGCAGGACAGAAAAUCUGCUGGAGCAGAUUCCUGGGAACAGCGUGUCCCUCCUCUUCAGAGGUCUCCUCUUCUUUUCUGAAGCUUUACAGAUAGAUUAUAGAAAAUGACCAGCAUGCAUGAUCCUUGUCUUGUUUCCCAUGUCUAGAA
rnacentral:lncRNA from 10 species